CGCGUGUGUGAAGAAGGCCUUUGGGUUGUAAAGCACUUUACAUGCGACGAGGAGGUACUAUACUAUACUACUGGAUAUGGACGUUACCCGCAAAUUACCCCGGCUAACUCUGUGCCAGCAGCCGCGGUAAUACAGAGGGUGCGAGCGUUAAUCGGAUUUACUGGGCGUAAAGCGUGCGUAGGCGGCUUUUUAAGUCGGAUGUGAAAUCCCCGAGCUUAACUUGGGAAUUGCAUUCGAUACUGGGAAGCUAGAGUAUGGGAGAGGAUGGUAGAAUUCCAGGUGUAGCGGUGAAAUGCGUAGAGAUCUGGAGGAAUACCGAUGGCGAAGGCAGCCAUCUGGCCUAAUACUGACGCUGAGGUACGAAAGCAUGGGGAGCAAACAGGAUUAGAUACCCUGGUAGUCCAUGCCGUAAACGAUGUCUACUAGCCGUUGGGGCCUUUGAGGCUUUAAUGGCGCAGCUAACGCGAUAAGUAGACCGCCUGGGGAGUACGGUCGCAAGACUAAAACUCAAAUGAAUUGACGGGGGCCCGCACAAGCGGUGGAGCAU
rnacentral:rRNA from 1 species